rnacentral:rRNA from 1 species
AUUGAACGCUGGCGGCAGGCCUAACACAUGCACGUCGAACGAGUGGCGGACGGGUGAGUAAUGUCUGGGAAACUGCCCGCUGGAGGGGGAUAACUACUGGAAACGGUCGCUAAUACCGCAUACCAUCGGAUGUGCCCAGAUGGGAUUAGCUAGUAGGUGGGGUAACGGCUCACCUAGGCGACGAUCCCUAGCUGGUCUGAGAGGAUGACCAGCCAGACUGGAACUGAGACACGGUCCAGACUCCUACGGUAGGCAGCAGUGGGGAAUAUGGCACAAUGGGCGCAAGCCUGAGGCAGCCAUGCCGCGUGUAUGAAGAAGGCCUUCGGGUUGUAAAGUACUUUCAGCGGGGAGGCGUUACCCGCAGAAGAAGCACCGGCUAACUCCGUGCCAGCAGCCGCGGUAAUAC